rnacentral:rRNA from 1 species
UACGUAGGGUGCAAGCGUUAUCCGGAAUUAUUGGGCGUAAAGAGCUCGUAGGCGGUUUGUCGCGUCUGCUGUGAAAACUGGAGGCUCAACCUCCAGCCUGCAUUCGAUACUGGGCGGCUAGAGUCUGGUAGGGGGAUCUGGAAUUCCUGGUGUAGCGGUGGAAUGCGCAGAUAUCAGGAGGAACACCGGUGGCGAAGGCGGGAUCCUGGGCCAGUACUGACGCUGAGGAGCGAAAGCGUGGGGAGCAAACAGG